UCUGCAGUAACCACAAAACCUGCUCCAACCUGACAAUCUUUCAGCCCAACUCGCUCUUGGAGAUGUACAUUGCUGCAAAUCACAGAACCUUGGAUGGAACAACCAUCUCCAAUGGUAACAUGGUUCAUGAUAACUGAAUUAACAACCUUCACAUUAGAACCUAUCCGGCAGUGACGACCAAUUACAGACCGUUUCACACUGCAUUUAUCACCCAUUUGUGAACCUUCCCCUAACAUACAAUGAGGCCCCACAGUAGUUUUUGAUCCAAGCUGUGCUGAAGGAUGGAUGAUGUUGUUACAAGCAGAGAAAGAAUAGCCAGACAGAUGAUUUGCCUCACCUAUGACAUCUCUGUUUAUAUCACUGAAUGCUUGAAUAGAAUUUAAGCGUGCACAGUACUUGUUGUUGCUUGCAAUAUAAGCACAGCAUUUAUGAAUUCUUCGAACAGAAGCAGAACCAUUAUGACCCGAUGCAUAAAGUUCAUGAAAGCUUGGUGUAGAAGCAUUGGCCAGUAUUUGAGAUACCACUACAUGGUUGUCCUGGGAACCAACCUUCACAUUUCCUUUUUCUUCUGCUUGCGAUACACCAUUUAGUAACAUCUCUGAUCUCAGCUGGCUCCGAACAAGAUAAGGCAGCACAUCCUGUUUUAAGCUUUGAAAGUUAUCCUUCUCUUCUAAAAUUUUUUGCAGAACAGACCUCUUGAACGCAUACAUAUGAGCAUCCAUUAGAUCAGUUCGUAUUUCCAUCUGCCCCACUGCACGAAGAAUACUCUUCUGAAUUCGAAUAUCUUUCUCAACUUCAGCUCCUGUUGCUAUAUGUAAUAAAAACUGCUUUGCAGGGUCCAGCCCAAUGAUAUUGUAUCGUCUUGGUUUCUUUAUUUUGUCCUUUCCAGCAGAGGACCCUGAUUCAGCAGGUCCACCAACAGGAGCAGAACAGAGCAUUGUAGUCACCACUGCAUCAUGCCGUCUGUGAGCAGCGGCAACUGCACCAGGAGGAACAUCAGAAACAAGAUCACCAGUCACAACCAAAAUGUCCUUUGCAGUCCCCGAAGAGCACCAGCGGUUCCAACAUCUUCUGGAACUGCAGCAACCUCAACGUGUAAUCGAUCAACAUAAGCACCUGAUAUCCAAGCACCAACAAGAAGAGCUG
rnacentral:misc_RNA from 1 species